GACGAACGCUGGCGGCGUGCUUAACACAUGCAAGUCGAACGGAAAGGCCCUGCUUUUGUGGGGUUCUCGAGUGGCGAACGGGUGAGUAACACGUGAGUAACCUGCCCUUGACUUUGGGAUAACUUCAGGAAACUGGGGCUAAUACCGGAUAGGAGCUCCUGCUGCAUGGUGGGGGUUGGAAAGUUUCGGCGGUUGGGGAUGGACUCGCGGCUUAUCAGCUUGUUUGUGGGGUAGUGGCUUACCAAGGCUUUGACGGGUAGCCGGCCUGGGAGGGUGACCGGCCACAUUGGGACUGAGAUACGGCCCAGACGCCUACGGGAGGCAGCAGUGGGGAAUAUGGCACAGUGGGCGGAAGCCUGAUACAGCGACGCCGCGUGCGGAAUGACGGCCUUCGGGUUGUAAACCGCUUUCGCCUGUGACGAAGAGUGAUUGACGGUAAUGGGUAAAGAAGCACCGGCUAACUACGUG
rnacentral:rRNA from 1 species